GUUAUCUGCUUUAGGCUACGUGUUUGAGAAUUAUACCACGGAGUCAGGUACUUCGGAUUUGAGACCUUAGUUUUCACAGGAGCUACAGUAUCCAGAGUCGUACGUAGUGAGGAGGUAAAAUUAUUAACAAGAUAAUCGACCUCUGUUGGAGUAGCGUUCAGAUAGCUGCUCUGCUCUGUGUUGGUACAGGGCAUUGAAGAUGAUAACAGUGGGUGGAUUAUAUUCUUAAACUUAGUUACAGCGCUUUCAGAAAGACAUCUACUGUGAUAAAGUCUACUCUCCACUGCUGUGUAAUCAAUUAUUGUAAAUGUAAAUGUUAUCAGGAAAUGAUCAGACAGCAGAGGGUUUUCAGGAAACACUGUUAAAUGUUCAGUUUCUAUGCCAUAUGUUAAAAUAAGAUCUAGAGUGUGAUGUGGGUUCUUUUGCAUUUUGAGAGAAGCCAAUUGAGUCUAAUAACAGAUUAAAUGCCAUGUUGAAGC
ensembl:lncRNA